rfam:Populus trichocarpa isolate Nisqually-1 chromosome 19, whole genome shotgun sequence.
UAAUCUAUUUGGAGAAGAACCUCAUUUAGUUAUAGCAGGCUCACACGUAACUGCUCAGAAUUAGUGAACAAUAACAUUUUUAGUUUACAAGUUUGACA